rnacentral:snoRNA from 1 species
AAGACUAUACUUUCAGGGAUCAUUUCUAUAGUUCGUUAAACCGGUCUUCUGGUGAAAGGUUACAUUGUUAAUUUGAGACUUUCUUG